rnacentral:rRNA from 2 species
CCGCGUGAGUGAAGAAGGGUUUCGGCUCGUAAAACUCUGUUGUUGGAGAAGAACGUGCGUAAGAGUAACUGUUUACGCAGUGACGGUAUCCAACCAGAAAGUCACGGCUAACUACGUGCCAGCAGCCCGCGGUAAUACGUAAGUGGCAAGCGUUAUCCGGAUUUAUUGGGCGUAAAGCGAGCGCAGGCGGUUGCUUAGGUCUGAUGUGAAAGCCUUCGGCUUAACCGAAGAAGUGCAUCGGAAACCGGGCGACUUGAGUGCAGAAGAGGACAGUGGAACUCCAUGUGUAGCGGUGGAAUGCGUAGAUAUAUGGAAGAACACCAGUGGCGAAGGCGGCUGUCUGGUCUGCAACUGACGCUGAGGCUCGAAAGCAUGGGUAGACGAACAGGAUUAGAUACCCUGGUAGUCCAUGCCGUAAACGAUGAGUGCUAGGUGUUGGAGGGUUUCCGCCCUUCAGUGCCGAAGCUAACGCAUUAAGCACUCCGCCUGGGGAAGUACGACCGCCAAGGUUGAAACUCAAAGGAAUUGACGGGGGCCCGCACAAG